CUAGUACGGGAGGCAGCAGUGGGGAAUCUUCCACAAUGGGCGAAAGCCUGAUGGAGCAACGCCGCGUGAGUGAAGAAGGUCUUCGGAUCGUAAAGCUCUGUUGCACGGGACGAAAACCGGGUUUGAAAACAUUGAGCCCGGGUGACGGUACCGUGCGAGGAAGCCACGGCUAACUACGUGCCAGCAGCCGCGGUAAUCUAG
rnacentral:rRNA from 1 species